GAUUAACGCGAAGAACCUUACCUACCCUUGACAUGGUCGGAAUCCCGCUGAGAGGUGGGAGUGCUCGAAAGAGAACCGGCGCACAGGUGCUGCAUGGCUGUCGUUAGCUCGUGUCGUGAGAUGUUGGGUUAAGUCCCGCAACGAGCGCAACCCUUGUCCUUAGUUGCUACGCAAGAGCACUCUAAGGAGACUGCCGGUGACAAACCGGAGGAAGGUGGGGAUGACGUCAAGUCUUCAUGGCCCUUAUGGGUAGGGCUUCACACGUCAUACAAUGGUCGGAACAGAGGGUUGCCGACCCGCGGGGGGGAGCUAAUCCCAGAAAACCGAUCGUAGUCCGGAUUGCACUCUGCAACUCGAGUGCAUGAAGCUGGAAUCGCUAGUAAUCGCGGAUCAGCAUGCCGCGGUGAAUACGUUCCCGGGCCUUGUACACACCGAAUC
rnacentral:rRNA from 1 species